rnacentral:rRNA from 1 species
GAUCGGUGCUUGCACCGAGAUUCAACAUGGAACGAGUGGCGGACGGGUGAGUAACACGUGGGUAACCUGCCCUUAAGUGGGGGAUAACAUUUGGAAACAGAUGCUAAUACCGCAUAGAUCCAAGAACCGCAUGGUUCUUGGCUGAAAGAUGGCGUAAGCUAUCGCUUUUGGAUGGACCCGCGGCGUAUUAGCUAGUUGGUGAGGUAAUGGCUCACCAAGGCGAUGAUACGUAGCCGAACUGAGAGGUUGAUCGGCCACAUUGGGACUGAGACACGGCCCAAACUCCUACGGGAGGCAGCAGUAGGGAAUCUUCCACAAUGGACGCAAGUCUGAUGGAGCAACGCCGCGUGAGUGAAGAAGGCUUUCGGGUCGUAAAACUCUGUUGUUGGAGAAGAAUGGUCGGCAGAGUAACUGUUGUCGGCGUGACGGUAUCCAACCAGAAAGCCACGGCUAACUACGUGCCAGCAGCCGCGGUAAUACGUAGGUGGCAAGCGUUAUCCGGAUUUAUUGGGCGUAAAGCGAGCGCAGGCGGUUUUUUAAGUCUGAUGUGAAAGCCCUCGGCUUAACCGAGGAAGCGCAUCGGAAACUGGGAAACUUGAGUGCAGAAGAGGACAGUGGAACUCCAUGUGUAGCGGUGAAAUGCGUAGAUAUAUGGAAGAACACCAGUGGCGAAGGCGGCUGUCUGGUCUGUAACUGACGCUGAGGCUCGAAAGCAUGGGUAGCGAACAGGAUUAGAUACCCUGGUAGUCCAUGCCGUAAACGAUGAAUGCUAGGUGUUGGAGGGUUUCCGCCCUUCAGUGCCGCAGCUAACGCAUUAAGCAUUCCGCCUGGGGAGUACGACCGCAAGGUUGAAACUCAAAGGAAUUGACGGGGGCCCGCACAAGCGGUGGAGCAUGUGGUUUAAUUCGAAGCAACGCGAAGAACCUUACCAGG